AUUGAACGCUGGCGGCAGGCCUAACACAUGCAAGUCGAACGAGUGGCGGACGGGUGAGUAAUGUCUGGGAAACUGCCUGCUGGAGGGGGAUAACUACUGGAAACGGUAGCUAAUACCGCAUCCCAUCGGAUGUGCCCAGAUGGGAUUGGCUAGUAGGUGGGGUAACGGCUCACCUAGGCGACGAUCCCUAGCUGGUCUGAGAGGAGGACCAGCCACACGGGAACUGAGAAACGGUCCAGACGCCUACGGGAGGCAGCAGUGGGGAAUAUUGCACAAUGGGCGCAAUCCUGAUGCAGCCAUGCCGCGUGUAUGAAGAAGGCCGUCGGGUUGUAAAGUACGUUCAGCGGGGAGGCGUUACCCGCAGAAGAAGCACUGGCUAACUCCGUGCCAGCAGCCGCGGUAAUUC
rnacentral:rRNA from 1 species